AUGAUUACUUCAUGGGAAUUUACACCUAUGUUCUCAGUAGAAUUUGAACACAAUGGACUUUUCUGUGGAUUGGGUGCUAUUAGGCAAUAUGUUGGAUGCACACAUGUGUUCGAUUAUUGUCAUCCUGAUAGUUUGUCAACACAAGUUAUGAAGGACUGCUUGGAGAAGAUUGGAUAUGAUACUUUAGAUCCUAAGAUGUGCUUGCCUGAGAACAAGUCAAUUUUUGAUGGUAUGAUUUGUGUGGAUAAUGAUGAAGUAAUUGCUGCAAUCAACGCUCCAAGUAGAGAACACAAGACACUAUAUUUGCUUGUGGAUGAGAAAGAUCACAUAUGGUAUGAUGUGGUAAUAGAAUUGCCAACAAGAGCUAGACGGGGUGAAGGAACUUCAAGGAUCAAUGCUGCAACAAAUAUUGAAGAGCAAGAACAACAUCCAGAGCAAGAGCAAGCAGAACCAGAGGUAGCGGAGCAAGCACAUGAAGUAGAGGGAGAAGUUGAAGAGACUGACUCUGAAUUUUAUGAAAGUGAUUAUGAUGUGGAAGAUGGAGACAAUGAUCUCUUUGAUGAAAAUGUAGACAAAAAUGUGGAGGAUAACAAUGUGCAGAAUGAGUACAUGGAAGAGGGGUAUCCACCAGACGAGGAUGAUUUAAUCCUUUCAAAGGAAGAGCUACAAAAGCUGAAGUAUACUUUCAGGACUUUCAGUGCAGAGAUUGACAUGGAUAAUCCAGUGUUUAGGGUUGGAUUAGUUUUCAGCGAUAUGAAAGAGGUGAGAAGGGUGUUGGACGCAUAUAGUGUCAAAGAGACAGAGUUAAGAUCCGGAGAGCUAGAAAUGAGGCGACUAGGAUGA
rnacentral:rRNA from 1 species